GCUAUGGGGCUUGGUAAUACGCGACCCGGCUGCUGUCGACGUUCCGACAGUGCCGACACCAUUGUCAGAACUUAAGUUUCAGUAUUUAUUCCGAUACAUUUUAUAAACUGGUGUCCAUAAAUAGUGACAAAAUCAAAGCUUCUUGUCAAAACUGUCACAAAGUAAUUACUGCGUACACUACUUCAAGUGGCAACUUAUUAAGUCAUAUUAAGAGCCAACAUUCCUUUUUAAUAUCAAAAGUUGAAGAAGCAAGAAAGAGAAAGGCCGAAUCAACAAUUGCGUCUGCCUCUCUUCAACCUAAAAUAUAAUAUAAUGUUUCUACCAAAAAAGUGUCUAAGGAAAAGAUAAAUGAGUUGGUGUUUAAUUACAUAAUUAAUGAAAUGAGACCUUUGAUAACAUGUAAAAAACAUAGCUUUCGAGAAUUAAUAAUGGGACUUACUGGAAUUAAAGAUACUUCUAUUUUACCAAACAGAACUCAAAUAAAAGCUCAAUUAAAAUCCAGGUAUGCAUUAUAUGUGCAAAUGAUUACAGAUUUAAUACAAAAGCAUAAUUAUAUUUGUACAACUGCGGACAUUUGGAGCUCAAAUAAUAAAAGCUUUAUGGUGGGGACGACGUCUGACCGUCGCGAAAUGAAAACUGGUCGCCGCCGAAGCCUGAUCUUAUUUGGAAUAGAGUAUUUUAAUAUAUUCAACCAUAUUCAAUUAAUGGCCAAAUUAUACCUUACCAACCAAAAGUGCAAUCCAAUGCAAAUGUCUGAAUCUCCCAAUGUUGGUCAAGUAAUCCAAUGAAACGAUGAAAUUCAAUUUGCAAGUCACAAUUUAAUUCGUCUGUCGAUGAAUACGAGCCAAGUUUUAGAGACACUUCAACAUUGGCUUUUACAGCGGGCAUGUGGACAGACGGGGUUUCGUCAAUUGCGCCGAAUUUGGGAUACUACCUGAAUAGUAUACAUCUAUUGCGCUGGUAUUAAAAAGGUAUAUCAAAAAGGUAUACAUCUAUUGCGCCGGCAUAAAAAAGGUAUAUUAAAAAGGAAUACAUCUAUUGCACUGGUAUUAAGAAAGUUAUAUUAAAAAGUAAAUUUAAAUAAAAAUAAUAUACAUACAUAUAUGACAUACAAAUUUAUCUUUCUGAUGAAGUGUCUUGAAUCUUAAUCUCAAUCUAAAAAAAUCAAAUUAAAAUUAGAAAAUGUAGAUAUAAAAAUAGAUUUAUAUUUAAUUACCUUAUAAUCAUUUUUUGUAGUGGUAGCUUAUCCGUUGUACAAAUAUACAAACAUAUCUAAAUUUCCAUUUAAAUACUUGGAUAUAUUAUCUUCAAUUAUGGUUUUUUUGUUUUUUAUUCUUAUGAUUUUUAUUCUUAUUUUUUUUCUCGACGCUAUUUAUUUUUAUGUAUUAUUGAAGUUGAACAAUUUUUAAAACUUCAUAAAAACAAAAAUGUUUGGAUGUGGUGAGUAAAAAUAUUUCCCAAAUGCUGAGUGAAACGACUCUCACGGGCAUUUGUCGUUCUUUCGCCUGAUAUGUUACACGAUGCCCAAAUAUACGGGGGGAAAGUUGCAUCUUCACCAAUAUAUGUAUUAACAAGGUAAUCACAAAACGUAUCAAUUCGUUCGUCCAUUGGUUUAAUGCUCAUAAAAUAAACCACGAAGCAACUGCCGACGUUUUCAGAUUCAAGUAGUGGUAGGCCGAAUAUCCACUUUAACCAUUUUUCAAUGUCACUUGAAUGAUUUUUAUAUUCUUAAGAUAAGCCUAAAUUUUGGAUUUUUCUCCACCAUGAUUGAGAGAUGAAAAUCGGCAACCACGUAAUAUUAUAUUCGGCCAAACCGUAAGAACAGCCUUAUGACGUAUGCUUUGCUCAAAAUCUACAAUGCAAAUUUUUGGUUGAAAAUGUACAGACAAUUUCGAUUUAUAUACCUCAAUUAAACUAUUAAAUGCUUGUUCAUAAAUUUUAGUUUCUUUAUUUGACAAAAGAAAAAAAACUAAUGGAAUAUAAUGACCGUUUUUAACUGUAUGGAUUGUGAAUAAUUGAUAAAAAUAUUUGGGACAGUAAGAAAAUGUCCCGUUCAUAAAUAUUUUUUCUUGACUACAGAGAAAUUUUAAAUUAGCCAUUGUUGAAAAUGCCGUUAUUUUGUUUUCAGAAUCGUUUAUUAAUAAAAAUUCUUCGUCUUUAUUCGUAAGUGUUGGAAUGCUAAGUAAAACUUCUUAGGUUUCUCUCAAAUUUGUGGGCAAUGUUUGAGUAUUUUUUCGUCUAGCUCUAUAUAAAUUUUGUCUUAUAUUUGAAAUAUCGUCGGUUUUAAGGUUGUUUGUUAAAUGAUUAGAUAUUUCCUUACUUAUUAUUUUUAACGGCUUUUCUGUUAAAUCGUCCAUUGCUUUUCUUUUCACCUGAUUUGAUAUAAUUUGACGUUCCAAGUUAUUAGGAGGAUGAUGUUCAUGUUUAAUUUCUUCAAAUAAAAUUGUAGUUUUACCCUCAUCUACGUAAAGCUUAGAGUUGCAACUUUUGUGUGCGCACCGCCAUUUAUGCCCUUUUUUGGUAAGUUCCUUAUAAGAAAAUUUAUAAUUUUGGUAAAUAAUUAGUUCUUUACCACGUUCACUUAAUACUAUUUCCAUUAUAAAUUUAAGUACGAGCCACGACAACUAAACGAACGACUAUACGAACGACGCGUGGAAUUGUACUGCACAAUACUAUGGAUUUACCUAUAACCUAACACGGUCUUUGUCCACAUUUUGUAAUUUAUUUUAUCUUCAAGUAAUAAAAUAAUAUAAUUCAAACUUACCUAUGAUAUAGAAUACGAUAUAGAUAUAUUAGAUUAAAACACAUAAAAACCGAUUUGUAGUUAUAAUAGAAAUAGUAUUAUAGACGUUUAAUAAACGUCGUUUAUAUAUAUUUAAGAAUCGAUCAGCGUAAUUGACGUACACCAUUUAUUACAUUCAAAUAUCGAUCGGCGCAGUUGAUGUAUACCUUUUUCCUAUCCCAUAAUUUUUCUUUCUUUACCUGUGAUUUUCGGCGCAAUUGAUAUAUGCCCGGACAGGCAUAAUAAGUAGUUGAUGAGUAUACAGUAGUGCAACAGUCCUUGAAAUUAGUUUGGAUCAACCGCUAGAAACCUCAAUGUGAUGUAUUACAAUCUGAUAAGUGAUGCGAAGUUUUUGUUGGAUUGAUCUAUGAAAACAAUAUUUUGAAGGUCGAGGAUAAUAAUUCUG